AGAGUUUGAUCCUGGCUCAGAUUGAACGCUGGCGGCAGGCCUAACACAUGCAAGUCGAGCGGUAGAGAGAAGCUUGCUUCUCUUGAGAGCGGCGGACGGGUGAGUAAUGCCUAGGAAUCUGCCUAGUGGUGGGGGAUAACGUUCGGAAACGGACGCUAAUACCGCAUACGAUCUCUGGAUGAAAGCGGGGGACUCGCAAGGGCCUCGCGCGAUUGGAGCGGCCGAUAUCAGAUUAGCUAGUUGGUGGGGUAAAAGCCCACCAAGGCGACGAUCUGUAGCUGGUCUGAGAGGACGACCAGCCACACUGGAACUGAGACACGGUCCAGACUCCUACGGGAGGCAGCAGUGGGGAAUUUUGGACAAUGGGCGAAAGCCUGAUCCAGCAAUGCCGCGUGCAGGAUGAAGGCCUUCGGGUUGUAAACUGCUUUUGUACGGAACGAAACGGCCUCUUCUAAUAAAGGGGGCUAAUGACGGUACCGUAAGAAUAAGCACCGGCUAACUACGUGCCAGCAGCCGCGGUAAUACGUAGGGUGCGAGCGUUAAUCGGAAUUACUGGGCGUAAAGCGUGCGCAGGCGGUUAUAUAAGACAGAUGUGAGAUCCCCGGGCUCAACCUGGGACCUGCAUUUGUGACUGUAUAGCUAGAGUACGGUAGAGGGGGAUGGAAUUCCGCGUGUAGCAGUGAAAUGCGUAGAUAUGCGGAGGAACACCGAUGGCGAAGGCAAUCCCCUGGACCUGUACUGACGCUCAUGCACGAAAGCGUGGGGAGCAAACAGGAUUAGAUACCCUGGUAGUCC
rnacentral:rRNA from 1 species